UACGAAGGGGGCUAGCGUUGCUCGGAAUCACUGGGCGUAAGGGUGCGUAGGCGGGUCUUUAAGUCAGGGGUGAAAUCCUGGAGCUCAACUCCAGAACUGCCUUUGAUACUGAAGAUCUUGAGUUCGGGAGAGGUGAGUGGAACUGCGAGUGUAGAGGUGAAAUUCGUAGAUAUUCGCAAGAACACCAGUGGCGAAGGCGGCUAACUGGUCCGGUUCUGACGCUGAGGCGCGAAAGCGUGGGGAGCAAACAGG
rnacentral:rRNA from 1 species